GACGAACGCUGGCGGCGUGCUUAACACAUGCAAGUCGAGCGAGCGGCGGACGGGUGAGUAAUGUCUGGGAAACUGCCUGAUGGAGGGAGAUAACUACUGGAAACGGUAGCUAAUACCGCAUACCAUCAGAUGUGCCCAGAUGGGAUUAGCUAGUAGGUGGGGUAAUGGCGCACCUAGGCGACGAUCCCUAGCUGGUCUGAGAGGAUGACCAGCCACACUGGAACAGAGACACGGUCCAGACUCCGACGGGAGGCAGCAGUGGGGAAUAUUGCGCAAUGGGGGCAAGCCUUAUGCAGCCAUGCCGCGUGUGUGAAGAAGGCCUUCGGGUUGUAAAGCACUUUCAGCGGGGAGGCGUUACCCGCAGAAGAAGCACCGGCUAACUCCGUGCCAGCAGCCGCGGUAAUUC
rnacentral:rRNA from 1 species